rnacentral:rRNA from 1 species
UACGUAGGGGGCAAGCGUUGUCCGGAAUCAUUGGGCGUAAAGCGCGCGUAGGCGGCCCGAUAAGUCCGCUGUAAAAGUCAACGGCUCAACUGUUGAAAGCCGGUGGAUACUGUCGGGCUAGAGUCCGGAAGAGGCAAGUGGAAUUCCUGGUGUAGCGGUGGAAUGCGUAGAGAUCCGGAAGAACACCGGUGGCGAAGGCGGUCUGCUGGGCAGUUGCUGACACUGAGGCGCGACAGCGUGGGGAGCAAACAGG